AUACUACUACACGCAUAGGCAGAACUUAUUUCGGGUCUAGUUAACCCCCCCUUUGUCACUUCCUGCAACUCAUGACAAUAAAAUAAUUCAGUUGUCAAUGAACAAAGGUUUCAGUGUGGAAUUCUUAAAGCGUAUGCUUAGUUCUAUAUGUAGAGAAGUUAAAUCUUCAGUUCCUAUAAUAUCUGGGGUAGGUUGGCCUAUUACCCAAAGGAGCAUGCAGAAACAUAGACAAUUCACAUCCUUUGUCAUCCAUGAAACCAUUAACUUCGGUCUCUCUGUUUCAUUUUAUCCCACGUCCCUGGGACCAUCUAAUGCUUGCAUACAGAAGAAACUUGCCCUACCAGUCAUAUGGAACGAAGAACUAAGAAAAUGUAGGAAAAGAUUGGUCUACUGAACUAACAUUCACCAUGAGCAAACAUAUAUGUCGUGUAGAAAUCCCGUAAUUAUUUCUAGGAUUAUGGGAUGAUUUGAUAUUAUUGUAUGAUCAUAUUUAGAGAUUAGGAAUAUUUUUCCUUCCAUGUGUAGAUAGUUACAUUUUUUUGUUCCUGUCUGUAUAUUAUAUAAUGGUGUAUAAGAUUGUAAAUAUUAUGUCGUAUGAAACUAGAAAUUUCCAACUUUCUAUUCCACUUUACAUGGUAUCAGAGCUUGGUCGUGUUUGACCUAGCCGUCAACCAAUAAUGGAAGAACACAGAAAACAGCAACCAAUCGACGACACCCGAGCCUCAAAUCAGCAAGGUAGAAUCCCUCCCGUCAAUGGGCUCAGGCAGAUUGGACAAUUCUUCAUUCCAACUCACUGUGGAAAAAUUGGAUGGAAAAAGGCCCAAUUAAUUAAGCUCAUUAUUGAUGGAAAAGGAAAGCUCGGGUAGCUUAUCGAAGAGAAGCAACAACCUGCCUCAACCGACGCCGUUUCACUGCAGAGAUGGAGAUCUGAAAAUUCGUUUGUGACUACAUGGUUAAUUAACUCCAUGAAACCCGCAAUCGAAACGACAUACUUAUUUCUUUCCACAUCGAAGGACGUACGGGAUGCAGUUCGAGAUAUGUGCUCUGACACUGAGGACUCUUCCAAAAUCUUUGAGAUUAAGACUAAACUAUGGUAAACGAGACAGAGAGACAGGAAGUGACAGAAUGCUUUCUAGAGAUGAGCUCCAUGUGGCAAGAACUCGAUCAGAACACUUAUAAGAAGUGGGACUGCCUGGCUGACACAUUGUGAUACAAAAAGAAAUUGGAAAACGAGAGCGUCUAUGAAUUGUUGGCUGGCCUGAAUUAAGACUUGGAUGACGUGAGGAAGGGGAUUUUGAGUUGUCGACUUUUGCAAUCGCCGAGAGGUCUUAACGGAGGUGCGCAGAGAAGAAAGUCGUCGAAGGGUUAUGUUGAAUGAGGCUAAAGAGGAAGAAAAUGGGUCUGCCUUAAGUUCUAAGGGUAUUGGGCCUAAUGGGUCGACCCCAAUGAUGAAAAAGGCUGCACCUAGUCAUAUAUAUAAUGGACCGGAUAUUCAUUACUCAAAAUGAAAUGGGCUGAAUGAAAUGGGCCCAUUAAAUAAAAGAAAUGGACCUAGAGCUAAUGGGCCCGGAGGAAGACAACAAGGACGUCCAUGGUAUGAUCAUUGUAGUAAAUCGGGAUAUAAAGAGGACAUGUGUAGGGAUCUGCAUGGAAAACCAACUGAUUGGAAACCAAGACAAAAUAAUAGGAAUAGGGGGUACCAAGCUUGUGCUCAUCCGAUUGAAGAAAAACAUAAUCCUACUCAGAGUCGUGCAUUCAAUCCUGAACAAUUGGAACAAUUGUACAAAAUGUUCUCAAAUUUUCAAUCACCCGGUUCGUCAAGUUCUCUAACGCACAAAGGUAUUUUGAGAGCAUUACACAUAAUCACUCACUCCAGAGCUCCUUGGAUUAUUGAUUCAGGUGCGUCUGAUCACAUGAAGAACUCUUAUCAUCUUUUUUCCACAUUCCACUUGUGCUAGUAACAUCAAAGUUAAAAUUGCAGACGGAUCAUUCUCACCCAUAGCAGGAAAAGGGAAUAUUCGAAUCUCUGACCUUAUAACCCUAGAGGCUAUUCUCAUGUUCCGAAUUUAUCUUACAACUUGCUAUCAAUUAGUAAAUUAACGAAAAAUUCCAAUUAUUCAGCUAAAUUCAUCUCAUCUCAUUGUAUUUUUCAGGACCUACCAUCGGGUAAGACGAUUGACAGUGCUAAGGAAUGUGAGGAGCUUUACUACCUUGAACAGGUACAUGUGAGUAAACGAAAUCAAAUUGCAACUUGUGAAUCUGUUUCUACUUCUAGAAAUAGCGAACCUAUGUUAUGGAAUCUUAGAAUGGGUCAUACCAAUUUUCAAUAUUUACUCCAUAUAUUUCCUUCCAUGUUUCCUAAUAAAAAGAUCUUUGAUUUCCAAUGUGAAAAUUGUGAACUAGCAAAGCUCAUCGUUACUCAUUCCCACAAUCUACGCACAAACCGUCGAAACCAUUCACCUUAAUUCAUAGUGUUUUAAGGGGGUCCAUCACUCAUCCCUAGUAGAAUGCACAAAAAAUGGUUCGUAACAUUUAUAGAAAACCAUUCUAGAUUGUGUUAGGUUUACCCACUAAAAGAAAAGUCUGAUAUCCAAACUAUGUUCAAAAACCUCCUUCAAUGUACCAAACACAAAUACAAAUUUUGCGUACUGAUAAUAGCACAGAAUAUUUUAAGACUACCUUGAAAGAAUUUCUCCAAAAACAAGGAAUAAUUUAUCAAAGCUCUUAUGUCGAUACUCCCCUACAAAAUAGGAUUGUUUGAACGAAAAAAUAGAGACAUUUUGAAGAUAACUCGUGCCUUAAUGUUCACCAAAAAUAUGUCGAAAUAUUUUUGGAGAGAUGCCAUCUUAACAUCGACAUAUCUUAUAAAUAGAAUGCCCAGCCGAAUUCUCUCAUUCAAAUCACCUCUCCAAAUGCUUCAAGAUUUUUUUCCCAGUUCCCACCUUAAUUUAAACUUACAUCUCCGAAUAUUCGAGUGUAUUGCCGUUGUCCAUAUGUAUCACCGAAGUAACUCAAUCCUCGUGCACUUAAAUGUGACUUCAUUGGAUACUCAUCCACCCAAAAGGGCUACAAAUGCUAUGAUACAUCCACAAAAAGGAUAUUUGUAAGCAUUGAUGUCACAUUCUUCAAAGAAACUCCCUAUUUUCAAAAGUCCUAUCUUUAGAGGGAGAAGUUGAAUGAAGAUCGACACUUGGGCAAAGAUCAACUCUUAGACUUUACUCUCACCCCUACUGAACCAAUCAUAAACAUGGAAUCUAUCACUCCUAACAUGCCAUCUACAAAGGGAAAUUUAAAUUCAAGGGGAGAUACAAAAAAGCAAGUUACCAAGGAGAUAUUAGCUUACUCAAGAAAAUCAAAAUCAACGUACAAAGAGAACCUCACACCCAAAGCACUAAAAGAGUUGGAACUGAUAAUAGCUUCAGAUCCAUAUGAGAACUCUUUAGAUAAUCAGACCUCUUCAAAUAAUGAGCCUUCAAAAAAGUGACCUACCCAUUGCUCUAAGAAAAAAACCUUGAUCAUGUACUCUUCACCCUAUUUCAAAAUUUGUUUCCUGUAACAAUCUAUCUGCAAGAUUUCACACCUUAUCUUAUAAUCUCGACAAUACAGAAAUUCCAAAAAAUAUUCAGGAGGAUAUGAUUAUUCCAAAAUGAAAAGAAACAAUUUUGGAAGAAAUAUGAGCAUUGGAGAAAAAUAAAACAUGGGAGGUGGUAGAACUACCAAAAGGAAAAAAAACCUAUCAGACGCAAAUGGGUCUUUAAUGUAAAGUAUAAAGCUGAUGGGAUAAUAGAAUAGUACAAACCUCGUCUUGUUGCAAAAGAAUAUACACAAACUUACGGUAUUUAUUACACAAAGACCUUUGCCCCUGUAGCAAAAUUGAAUACUAUUCGGGUUAUCUUAUCCUUACAGCAAACUUGGAUUGAUCUCUCCAACAGCUUGAUAUUAAGAAUGCGUUCCUAAACAGAGAAUCGGAAGAAGUCUUCAUGACACUCAUGAGAAAAAUAAGGUGUGUAAACUUAAAAAGUCACCAUAUGGCUUCAAACAAUCACCAAGAACAUGAUUCGCCAGAUUUGCAAAAGAGUGGAAAAGUCAAAGAUAUCAAUAAGGACAAUCAGAUCAUACUUUGUUUUACCAUCUGAGAAAGGGAUGAAAACAAUCUUAAUUGUUUGAGUUGAUAACAUUGUAGUGACCAGAGAUAAUAUAGUAGAAAUCGACAGGAUUAAGAAAAGUCUAGCCACGGAAUUUGAGGUAAAAAACUUGGGACGGAUGCGAUACUUCCUCGGAAUGGAAAUGGGCUGAUCGAAGAAGUGUAUCAGUGUUUUACAACGGAAGUACAUACUUGAUCUCCCAACUGAGACUGGUAUGCUUGGAUGCAAGCCGAGUGAUACACCACUGGAGAUAAGAAGAAAAGAUUAAAUCACCGGAAAGUUAGUUGAAAUGGACAGAUAUUAGCGACUGGUUGGAAAAUUAAUCUAUCUCUCUCACACUAGACCAGAUAUUGCAUUCGCUGUAAGUGUGGUAAGUCAACACAUGCACUUUCCAAAGGAAGCUCACUUAGAAGCAGUAUACAAAAUCUUCACAUAUCUCCAAGGUACCCCCUAAAAAAGGACUAUUCUUCAUGAAAAAUGAAAUGAAAGAAGAAGUUUUUACUGAUGCAGACUAGGAUGGUUCACGAGGAGACAGGAAAUCAACUACUGGCUUUGCACCUUCGUCUGAGGAAAUUUGGUGACUUGAAAAAGUAAAAAGCAGAAUGUGGUGGCUAAAAGUAGUGCUGAGGCUGAGUUUAAAGCAGUUGCACAAGGAAUAUGGCGAAGGAUUGUGGAUAAAGAAAUUAUUGAACGAAUUACGGACUAUGGUAAAACUUUCGAUCAAACUCUAUUACGACAACAAAGCGGCUAUUAAUAUAUCUCUCAAUCCAGUCCAACAUGAUCGAACCAAACACGUGGAAAUAGACGGACACUUCAUCAAAGAAAAUGUUGAAGAACGGAUUAUAUGCAUGACCUAUGUGCCUACCAAAGAACAAGUUGCACAUAUCCUCACCAAAUGACUGCCACGACAAAAUUUUGAGGAUUUCAUCUACAAGUGGAUAUGGUCAAUAUCUAUGAUCCAACUUGAGGGGAGUAUAGAAAUCCCGUAAUUAUUUCUAGAAUUAUGGGGUAAUUUGAUAUUAUUAUAUAACCAUAUUUAGAGAUUAGGAAUAUUUUUCCUUCCAUAUUUA
rnacentral:lncRNA from 1 species